rnacentral:rRNA from 1 species
UACGAAGGGGGCUAGCGUUGCUCGGAAUCACUGGGCGUAAAGCGCACGUAGGCGGCUCUCUAAGUCAGGGGUGAAAUCCUGGAGCUCAACUCCAGAACUGCCUUUGAUACUGGGGAGCUUGGGGUCCGGGAGAGGUGAGUGGAACUGCGAGUGUAGAGGUGAAAUUCGUAGAUAUUCGCAAGAACACCAGUGGCGAAGGCGGCUCACUGGCCCGGUACUGACGCUGAGGUGCGAAAGCGUGGGGAGCAAACAGG